ensembl:snRNA U1 U1 spliceosomal RNA
ACACUUAACUGGCUGGGGAGAUACCAUGAUCACAAAGGUGGUUUUUCUAGGGCUGGGCUUAUCCAUUGCACUCUGGGUGUGUUGACCCCUGCGAUUUCUCCAAAUGUGGGAAGUUCGACUGCAUAAUUUGUGCUAGUGGAAGACUGCGUUCACGCUUUCCCCUG